GAAGCUAACUAUGAGGCUCUCGUAGGGAGUCUUGUCCACAAGCAGACAAAGGUACAACCCUCCACUACACAGUGCCAUUUUAAUUGAAUUACCUUGGCUGUGGGGAAAAUA